UUUGACCCGUUCAAUGACAAUUGUUUUACAGUUUAGUUACAACAUUUUUUCCCCAGCUUUCUCUUCAAGUUUUCAUUUGGCAUGCAAAAUACGUAGAAUCACAGCAGCAGCAACACCCUUGGGUAAGACAUGGAGAGGGACACUUACUUAGCAUGCAUGUAUGGAUAUUUUAUUGAUACGGCAGUCUGAGUAAAAGUGUGAGUGCUGCCGCCGUUGGGCGAAUGCGGCCCGUGUUGUUGGUUGGUUUGGUCAAAAUGGGAUUGUUGUAUGUUGUUGGCGAGGCUUUUAAUGCGUUUUGCCAGGAGCACACCAAAAGGAUAUAUGAGCAUGUAUGUAGCAGCAGGAUCAGCAAGAACAAGAUGGCAAACAAGUCACAUGGAAAUCCCUUUGAGUUUCACAUGGGUCUACAGUUUUUGUUCCUUGGCAAUUUUCACACUUGUUCGGGCAUUUUGCUUUUUUCCAAAAAAUAAAAAUACAUAUAUACAGAUAUA